CUAUCUGGGUGGGGCUGAUGAAAUGGAUAUGGGUGUCAAUGCCUCCGGCGGUAAGGAUAAGUCCUUCGCCUGCUAUGGCUUCUGUGCCUGCACCGAAUACGAGAGAAGGUGUCACGCCGUCCAUUAUAUCGGGAUUGCCCGACUUGCCGAUACCGCAUAUCUUUCCGUCCUUUAUGCCGAUAUCAGCCUUGUAAAUUCCCGUACAGUCAACUACUACUGCGCCUGUGAUGACGGUAUCGGGGCAGUCGGCGUCCUUUACGGAGCAGGAUUGUCCCAUUCCGUCACG
rnacentral:sRNA from 1 species